GCCAGGUGUGGUGACGCAUGCCUGUAAUCCCAGCUACUCGGGAGGCUGAGGUAGGAGAAUUGCUUGAACCCAGGAGGCAGAGGUUGCAGUGAGCCAAGAUUGCACCACUGCACUCCAGCCUGGGCAACAGAGCAAGACUCCAUCUCAA
rfam:Pan troglodytes isolate Yerkes chimp pedigree #C0471 (Clint) chromosome 15, whole genome shotgun sequence.